UGCUUGAGUUCCAGUCCUGAC
rnacentral:piRNA from 1 species